rnacentral:rRNA from 1 species
UACGAAGGGGGCUAGCGUUGCUCGGAAUUACUGGGCGUAAAGCGCGCGUAGGCGGUCUUUUAAGUCGGGGGUGAAAUCCUGGAGCUCAACUCCAGAACUGCCUUCGAUACUGGAAGACUUGAGUCCGGGAGAGGUGAGUGGAACUGCGAGUGUAGAGGUGAAAUUCGUAGAUAUUCGCAAGAACACCAGUGGCGAAGGCGGCUCACUGGCCCGGUACUGACGCUGAGGUGCGAAAGCGUGGGGAGCAAACAGG